rnacentral:tRNA from 1 species
GGUUGCAUUCAGAAGAUGUGGGUUAGUCCCCACAAGUCUUA